rnacentral:rRNA from 1 species
GCAUUCGUGCGUGGAAGAUCAUUGCACGACAAUUUUAUGCUCGUACAAGGUACGGCUCGCAGACUACAUGCCUUGAAGGAUCCCACACUACUAUUGAAGCUGGACAUAUCCAAAGCCUUCGACUCCGUGCAAUGGCCUUUCCUGCUAGAAGUGUUGGCUCACAUGGGAUUCAGACCGAGAUGGACAACCUGGAUUUGCAGGUUGCUUGCAACAUCAUCUACUAAGAUAUCCGUGAAUGGAAUCCCCAGGGACACGAUAUUCAACUGUCAAGGUCUGCGCCAAGGCAGCCCGCUAUCACCUAUGCUUUUCAUCCUAUGCAUGGAACCACUCCACCGACUGCUUGAGCAUGCGACCACCGCGGGUUUGCUCACACCACUGGCCAAGACAGGGCUGAGACACCACGUGUCUAUGUAUGCGGAUGACGUCAUGAUAUUCCUGAAAUCAACGGAGAGGGACCUUCGGGCGUGCGCCUCAAUCCUGGAUCUAUUUGCGCAUGCGUCUGGGCUCAAGAUCAACCUGUGGAAGAGCUCGGCCCUCCCAAUCCGAUGCUCGCCGGAGGACAUGUAG